rnacentral:misc_RNA from 1 species
UUAGACAAUGCCAAGAAACUUUUCUGGCAUAUACGCUUUAAUAAUGACUCCCAAUCUAGCAUCAUAGCCUCAAAAUUGGCCUGAAUAAUGCACACCCAAAAAGGGCUGUACAAUUCAAAAAUUUUCUAUGUCAACUAUUAAGUUGAACAGCAAACUGUCGCUUUAGCAUGAAUGAGGGUAAAAAGAAUGAAUGUAAAAUUUAAACUACAAAAAUUGAACAGGUUGAGAAAUAUGAACAAGGAAUGCGGCAUUUACCAUUCAGGAAGCAAAACCACUAACGACUAUGUGAAUAGAGUUACAACAUCUCUACGGUAUCCUCUUACCAUCAAUAGCCUUGGCACAUUUUCUACUAAUAGAUCCAUGUAUUCCAUGUAAAAGUAGGCUGGGUGGUUGAUUGGAGGUGGUGGCAGACUCACAAGCACAACUGCAGCCAUUCUCGAGUAUCUCAAUAUCGUCGAAUUCAGCUUCAGGGUUGUGAACAGGAACUUCUCAACCUGUUGCUCAUUCACAACCACAGGUUUCCCAUCGGCCAGCAGUACAUUCCCUUCCCCUUCAGCUCUGGACUUCAUCUCCGUUAAGUAACUAGCAAUUCGCUGUUGAGCUGCAGUGAAUGCUUCAAGUGACUCAUCUUGUUGAGAUCCACCCUCUGCUUGCGCAUCCCAUGAUUUCAUUGAUAUAACAAUCACUUCAGCCUGCAUCCGAAGAUCAUACAGAAAUUUCUUCACAUCAGCUUUCAGUUCCUCUGCAUCCGAAUCCUCCUCUGCAAUGCAGAACACUUGAAUUUUACAACUCUCAAAACUCUCCUUGGUAAGGAGGAGCUGGGAAAGAAGAAGCAUCAGACCACCAUCUCUUACAAUCCAAUACAGAUCAAUGGUACCAUAUUGCCUCUGAUACACGUUGGGCCACUCAUCAAGACCCUUGACAAUAACAACUGCUUUGUUUGCAACAAUGCAGUCAUUAAUUAUCCCAACAAAGGUGGCUGGGAUUUCAGUUAGGUUUUCACGACGCCAUAUUUCUGGAUAUCUCAUAACCACAAUAUUGGGCUUGAGGUUGCCAAGACCCAUAGUCUGGACUAUUCCACGAAAGCCUUCAGACAUAUUCGGUGCUACAACUAUCUCUGCUACACCUUCGCAAUUUUUGUAAUCAAUGUAGGUGCCAAGUUGCUUGCAGGCUGCCUUGGCAUCUUCAGCAUGUUCAUGGUAAUCUCCAUCUAAUAUAGAUACAAAGAUAGACAUCCCACGACCCUUUUUUUUCAUGCAAUUUGCAAAGUCAGCAAGUUUGGGAUGGCAAGGUACAUUUUCUGGCAGCUUUCCCCAUGGCCGGCAGAAUAUGAGAGGGAUGGGAUACCAAUUCUUAGGGUGGACUUGGUUGGCUCCUAGUGAUCGAAGACUACGAAGAGCCAACUGAAAAUAUGCACUCUUGAAGCCAUCACCCCAGUCCCCAGCCUUUCCUUUAAUGCUCACAUAAUAAUAUAUAAGGCUGGCAAGGGCUAGAGACACAACCGUGAAUGACCAAGAAAUCAAGAACAUAAUGACAAUACAAAGUGAUGCCCCAAGAAGAGAGAGGCUCCAAUGGUGAAACUUCCAUCGUGGACGCCAACUGGGAGCAUCUAGAAGAUCCAGAAGGAAGCAAGACAAGUUCACACCAGCAUAACACAGAAGGUAAAACAUAGUUACAGUUGGUGUGAUAAGAUCCAGAUUCCCAAUGAUGACACACCCAAUACAUAAAAAUGCGGUAAAGAGUGUAGCAACAUGAGGCUCAAGCCCAUCUGCAACUUUGAAGUAGUUGAGAACAGGCAGAAUAUCAUCAUUUGCUAUUGCCGCAAGUAGGCGUGGAGCACCUGUCAGGCUUUGAAGAGCUGCUCCUAAAGUUGAAAGAAUAAUACCAAUAUAUACAAUUGCAGGGAAUGGCCAAGCAAUGGUGGCUGUAAGUAACCUGUCAGUUAAAAGUUUGUCUCUGGUUGCAAGUGCUCCAAAAAAUAACACAGAAAUCAGGUAUAAUGCAGUAGUUGUAAGAGUUGCAGCCAAUGUACCAACAGGAAUUGAACGCUGUGUGUCCUUGAGUGAGGCUGAUCUAUUAGAGCCUGCCAUAAUUCCCGUUACAGCAGGGAAAAACAAACCAACCAAUGCAUUGAAAUUCCAGUAAGUCUUUCCUUCAGGAUCAGGUAUUCCUGCAUCAUUGGUAAAUUGAUAAUCUGAACUCCAGUUAUCUUUGAAGCUUUCCAAACUUAAGCCCGUGACUCCAGUUGUUGGAUCAUUCUUCCUUGCUGAAAAAAUCCCAAUAAAUAUGCAGAACACAGAGAAUAAAACAGGUAUAAGGAAAGCAGGUGCAACCCGAUUAAUCAUUUUCACACCACCAAACACAAUGAAGCAUAGAAUGAGAGUCACAACAAUCCCAUAAAUUUGCAGGUCAUGUGAACUUGGACUUUCUAUAGGUUCUGAAGUUAUUGUGCCAUUAACCUUUGUAACAGUUUCUACAUUAGCAACGUGGGGAAAAAAAGAAAAAUGAAUUAGUACAAUACUCACUUUCAACAUCUAAAAAAUACAGGAACCAAUUACUGCAGAAAAUUCUUAAUCAUUACCUCUAAAUAUCCCAGCGGCAGGCACAGCUUUUAAAAAGGUUUCCACAGCUCCCAACACGUAACUAAAACCGCAAACAAAAGCAAAUGAAAGUAUAGAUGUUAACACAAGUGCUCAAAUGUUCUUAGAUAAAGCCAUAAAGAUAACAGCAUGCAUUGGUAAGGCCUCAAAUCUGUCAUCAUUGUCGCAUCACCAAAAGUUCAUAAUAUCUACUCACAGAGCUCCAGCAACUGCAUUCCCAAGGAAGAAACAUAGUCCAAUGCUAACUCCAACCUCUGGGCCAAGAGCACGACCAAUGAGAUAAUAUGGUCCCCCAC